GUGUAAGUAAAUGAUUAAUAAACAAUGUAAAUGUACAUUUAUACAUUAGAUGUACUGUUAAUGAGUGUUAAUAAAUGCUUUAUAAACACAUAUUCUAAAUAUAAAUCAUGAUUAAUUCAGGUACAUAAAAACCAUUUACUAGUUGUUAGUUAACUAUUUUUCUGAGCUCAUCUAAAGCGAGGACUAUCUAUGCCUUAUAAAGCAGUUACAAAGGAGAUUUAAAGGCUCAGUUAUUUUCUCAACAGAAAAAGGAAACAAACACAGCAAAGAGUGAUACAGUACAUAGAAAUAUUUAUUUCAAGAUGCACAAAAUGGAACUGUACAACUUUACAUUUAAAAAAUAAACCUCUUUUAUAAAAACCUCAAAUAAAAAUCUCAUAUAAUGUAACAAAAAUGAACAAAAUAAGCAACAAAAUAAAAAGAAUAUUAGCAAAAUGUGUUAACAAAGUAAAAAGUUUUGAAAGUGAAAAUUCAGUGCAAUGAGUCACAAAAAGUACAAAACUGUAAACUUGUAAACCUCCAGACAAUGUAACUCUGCUGUAAUAUGAAAUUAAACCUUAGCAAUCUGAUAGAAAAAUAAAUUUCUGCAGUGUAGACAUUGGUGGUGGCUCAAGUGGUUAAAGCUCGGGGUAAUUGACCAGAAGAUCGCGGUUCAAGCCCCAGCACCGCCAAGUUGCCACUGUUGGGCCCUUGAGCAAGGCCCUUAACCCUCUCUGCUCCAGGGCUGUGAUUUUAUCUUCUAUAGCUGGAUCUUCCUGAAUUGCAGCAGCACAUUGUGUGGCAAAUGCACCAAUUGUAAUUUGACUAUUGUGGUUUUUAAGCAGUUCCUGAUACUUGACAGGUGCAGCGAAGAACAGCUCUGCGAUUGGAGCACUUACUACCACUGUGUUCCAGUCCACCCCAACAUGCUUGAAAGCAGCUAACAUGGUCCCUCUUCUACUGAAGUGGCGAAGAAUUUUUUUGUAUUGGAUCACCACCUGCUGUGGGUUUUGAGCUGUAACUCAGAGAAAAUAGAAUUAGUGUUAGUAUUUGCUUUUAUUAUUCCCACACCCACCAUUGACUUACAUUGUUUCAAUCUAUAGUAUGAUACAUUCCACAAACAUCAGUUUAGAAUAAGAGCAGACCACCCCAGUUACACCCAGACAAUAUCAGAACAUUCCAACAUUAAAUGCUUAAAUUAAGCCCAUGAAUAAGGUUCCUAUUAUACAGAGUUGUGCUGAUUUAUUGGUUUAUCUAACCAAAAAAUAUUUCUCAUCGGGGUAGUUUAUAUAGUUUCCUGUAACCUCUACUGUGAAGUAGUUGAAAGCUUAUAAAGCUAUUAUGUAAUGCUUAAAAUUAGCAUUCUAACCUCUCUUACGUGUCUUUGCUUCAAUAUUCUUUGACUUCCUCCCAUACUUUUUUCCUUUUCCCUUCCUUUUUGUCCUCUUCUUCUUUCUGUUCCCCUCUGAUGAGGAUGUCUUAGAGGAAGAGUCAGACAUAGUAUCAGAGGAUGAUUCAUCUCAGAUGUCACUAAAGGAAUCUGAAGACAACGGAGUUGCCUGGACGGACCCUGUGUCCCCUCUUUUAAGAGCUUUUAAAUAGAUACAAAUACAUGCAUAAGACCCACAGCUAGUGGCACAUGGCACAUAGGAAUACAAAGUUAAACUAACAUAAGUUCACUGUACUAUAAUUUCAAUACAUUUUGUCUGUAGGGAGACUUGCCUGAUGCCAGCUGCUCUUUUAGAUAGUCUCUCUCUUUGGUCAGCUCAUCAGUCUUCUCCUUUUGCCACUCUACUGUGAGCUUACACAUCUCCAACUCAUGGGAAAUUAUUCAAUGGAUUUAGAACGUUCUUUUAACUUUACUGUUGUCUAACAAACUGUCAUCCUGCCCUGCCCCUGUAUAUUACACAAAGAGAAAAAAAAGUCUCCUGUUGACAGCUAGGUUUCUGCCAGCCUGAGGAUGUAUACAGUGCAGCGCGUCACAGCGCUCCCACCCCCCUGUGUGUCCCCCGCAUCAAGACCUGUAGCAAGCCACUAGCUUGCUAGCCAUCACUCAUAAAGCGCGCCUGUAAACCAAGAAAGAUACUCACCACUAGUGCCACUGAUGGACGAUUCAUCUAAUGUGUCCAUCUCCACGCAGUUCUAUGAAGAAUACCCUGAAGUUGAUUAAGUGUCUUCAGAAAAUAAAACUGCUAAAAAAAAAAUUAAAUGCACAAUAUGCCACCGGGAAAUGGAAAUGAAGAAAAGAACGAACAGUGGAGAUCAUUAUGCUUGGAUUUGUCGACAACACAUGAUGGAAGGGCAAAACAAAUUUCUGUCAGGUACAAAGCAAUCUUCAGUGCAUCAAAGGUCUCCUUCAGUAAGUGGAUUCAGUUCAUGUACAGGUUUUCACAGGGUCUACGGUUACGGCAGAGCGACAUGAUGGAUGACAGCAUUGCAGGCAGUUCAGCAACUAUGACAAAGAAAAAAAGAGAAAUCUGUGUCACAGCAGUGGAAAAGAUGAGAAGGCGUACAGGUCAGCAGAUUGGUGGAAGAAGGGAGUUUGUUGUGAUAGAUGAAAGCCAUUUUCGGCACAAAAGAAAGGUAUGUUACAGCAAUAUCAACUUUAAAUAAAUGUCAAAUUUAGUUUAACAUCUUAAAUUUAUGUUAAUGAAUGUUAAUUAUAGUACUCUGCUAAUUCAAUGUGAGGGGAUGUAAACUUCACCCUAAUCCUAACAUAAAUUUUAUUGCAUAUUAAGCCAGUAAAAAUGUACCAGAAGUAACAAAAAUGGUCAAGGAUUGUAUAAAUGAUAAGUUAUGAUAAAAUAAUGAAAACUACAACAUAGCAGCAUAGAAGCAACAUAGAAGCAACAUGUGCAGUAAAUAUCACGAUGAUGAAAACAAAAUCUCAAAUCAAAAAUGGGAUGCAAACGUUUGCACUAAACUGUACCAAAGUUACAGUUAUUAUGAUCUAUCUUGUUGUGGCUUUGUUUGUUGUGUUGGUUUUCGAUCAGUAUGGUAGGGUUAGGGUUAGAGUGAAUGGCUGGUGGGUGGAAAAGAAAGAAGUGGGUCUUUGGGAUGCUAGGUGUGACGCAUCAUUCACAGCGAAGAUCUGGAAAACCUAUUCUACAUCUUCUAGAGAGAAGAUCUAGAAGGCAUCUUGUCCCCUUGAUUGCCCAUCAUAUGAUACCCGGGUCAUCAAUUAUCAGUGACGAGUGGCGUGCAUAUCGCAUACUCCCUGCACUAGGGUAGAACCAUCACACUGUCAACCACAGCAGGUGGUAUGUAGAUCCCCACACUGGUGCCCAUACCCAGCAUAAUGAAAGGGCAUGGAGAGCCUACAAGGAGCAGAUCUGGAGGCUUAGGGGAAAUCAGACCGAGAGUUUGCUAUCUGACCACCUUACAGUUAUUGAGUGGAAUGAAUGGCUAGCAAAGAAACACCAUGGUGGUGCAUUUGGCAGACUGAUUCAUGACAUUUCAAAAAAGUACAAGUAGUCAUUCAGUCACUAUUACCACUGUAAGAGCACU